rnacentral:rRNA from 1 species
UCAAGGGUUCUUCGGAGCACUGGCGAAAGGCUCAGUAACACGUCGAUAAUCUAACUUAUGGUCUUGGAUAGCCUUGGGAAACUGAGGGUAAACCAGGAUAGGAGAUUUGUACUGGAAUGUUAUUUCUCUGAAAAGUAAUGCCAUAAGGUGAGUCGGCGGCUGAUUAGGUUGUUGGCGAGGUAAAGGCUCACCAAGCCUAAGAUCAGUAGAGGGAAUGAGAGUUCUAGCCUCGAGAAGGACACUGAGAUAAGGGUCCUAGCCCUAAGGGGUGCAGCAGUUACGAAAACUUUACAAUGCACGAAAGUGUGAUAAGGGUAUCCCAAGUGCUUUGCUUCGGUAAGGCUUUUUUUAAGUGUAAAUAUCUUGAAGAAUAAGUGGUGGGAAAUACUGGUGCCAGCAGCCGCGGUAACUCCAGAGCCACAAGUGGUAACCGUUUAUUUGGCCUAAAGGGUCCGUAGCCGAUCUAAUAACUUUUCUGUGAAAUUGUUGGGCUUAACUUAACAAUGUGCAGGAAAAACUGUUAGAUUAGAGACCGGGAAGAGAUAGAAGUAUUCUUUGGGGAGCGGUAAAAUGCUAUAAUCCUUAGAAGACUACCUAUGGCGAAGGCAUCUAUCUAGAACGGGUCUGACGGUGAGGGACGAAAGCUAGGGGAGCGAUCGGGAUUAGAUACCCCAGUAGUCCUAGCUGUAAACGCUGUGAACUAUGUGUUGCAUAUUCUUCGUGGAUAUGCAGUGCCGUAGCGAAGGUGUUAAGUUCACCGCCUGGGAAGUACGGUCGCAAGACUGAAACUUAAAGGAAUUGGCGGGGGCGCACUACAAGGAGUGGAACGUGCGGUUUAAUCUAACUAUACACAGAAAAUCUUACCAGGGGCGACGGCAAGAUGAAGGUCAGAUUGAAGGUCUUACCUGAUGAGCCGAGAGAUGUUGCAUGGCCGUCGUCAGCUCGUGCCGUAAGGUGUCACGUUAAGUCGUGCAACGAGCAAGACUUAUAUCUAUAGUUGCUAUCAAGCCUUUUGGUGAUUGGGCACACUAUAGAGACUGCCUUCGUAAGGAGGAGGAAGGUGUAGGCAACGAUGGGUCUGUAUGACUCGAAUCUCCUGGGAUACACGCGCGUUACAAUGGUAAAGACAAUGGGAUACGACUCUGAAAAGAGAAGUUAAACCUUCAAACUUUAUCUUAGUACGGAUUGAGGGCUGUAACUCGCUCUCAUGAAGCUGGAAUUCCUAGUAAUCGGAUUUCAAUAAAGUCCGGUGAAUACGUCAAUGUGCCUUGCACACACUGCCCGUCAAGUCAACCGAGCAGGGUUUUGGUGAGAUUUAAUACUCGUGAUUAGAUCGAACCUAGAUUCAGUAAGGUGGGUUAAGUCGUCACAAGGUA